rnacentral:rRNA from 1 species
AUAUUGGACAAUGGGCGAAAGCCUGAUCCAGCAAUGCCGCGUGUGUGAAGAAGGUCUUCGGAUUGUAAAGCAAUUUAAGUUGGGAGGAAGGGGUUGAAGCUACUACCUUCAAUCUUUGACGUUACCAACAAAAUAAGCACUGGAUAACCCUGUACAAGCAGCCGCGGUAAUACAGAGGGUGCAAGUUUUAAUCGGAAUUUCGGGGCGUAAAGCGCGCGUAGGUGGUUCAGUAAGAUGGAAGUGAAAUUCCCGGGCUUAACCUGGGAACUGCUUUCAUAACUGCUGAGCUAGAGUACGGUAGAGGGUAGUGGAAUUUCCUGUGUAGCGGUGAAAUGCGUAGAUAUAGGAAGGAACACCAGUGGCGAAGGCGACUACCUGGACUGAUACUGACACUGAGGUGCGAAAGCGUGGGGAGCAAACAGG